AUUCUAGCUAUAUUAUUAAUUAUAUCAAUAAAUUAUAUGGUUAAUAUAUUUUUAAUAUUAAGUUUCCAAUUAUUAAUAUUAUAAUUAUAUAUAAGUAUAGAUUUAGUUAUUGAUUUACAAUAGAUUAAUAUUUGUGCCAGCAUUCGCGGUUAAACAAUUUAUUGAAAUUAAUUUUUUAGGUAAUUAAUUCAAUAGAUUUUGUAUAUGGAAAUAGUUAUUUAUUGUUUAGGUGAAAUUUACAUUAAAUAUUAAUUUCUAAGUUUAUUUUAAAUAAUUUAAUAAUUAAACUAGGAUUAGAUACCCUAUUAUAAUUAAAUGUUUAUUUAACCUGAAUGGUAUUAGUUAUGAUCUUUAAAGCUCAAAGAAUUUGGCGGUAAAAUAUCUAUUUAGAGGAAUCUGUAGAUUAAUUGAUGAACCACGAUAGUUUACACUUUAAUUAUAUUUGUAUAUCGCUAUAUUUAUGAAUGUUUUGAUAAGAAAUUUUUUUUUACUAUUUAGAUGAAAAUUAGGUCAAGGUGCAGUUUUAUUGAAGUUUCUAUGGAUUACUUUUAAUAUAAAUUAUUUGAAUAGUAAAUUUAUUAUAUUUACUUGAAUUAGGAUUUAAUAGUAAAAUUAAUUAAUUAAUUAUUUUGAAUUUUGUACUAUUUUAUGUACAUAUCGCCCGUCACUCCUAGUUUAAGUUAGGAUAAGUCGUAACAAAGUAACUUUACCGGAAGGUGAAGUUAGAAUGAAUAGAUUUAAUA
rnacentral:ncRNA from 1 species